AUGGCGAGCGCGGAUCUGCUGCGGAGGGAGGAGGAGUUCUACGAGUCGCUGUUCGAUUCCGCCAAAGGCGAUGCCGCUGCCGCCAAGACGCGUGGGCAGAUGAUCGAGAGGAAGAUUGAAGCCCUGGAGGACAUGGCAACCAAAUGGUUGAAUGAUCGCUUGCUGAUUGAGCUCGUCCCUCGUCUUCAUGUUGAAGAAAUCAAAGGCCUCUUUGCCCCUCCGCCAUUUGGUGAGGAAGCACCACUGUCAGCAUUUUGCAGGACAAGUGUUGGUGAGUGGGAUGCAUUCAGGAGCAUUGACAUGGACGUUGAGGCAAGAUUUAUGCAACGAAUGAAACAAUCAUCAAAGCAGAAGAAUCUUGUGAAUGAAGAUGAGUCAAUUGUGCUGAAUGUUAUAUUUUUGGUUGUUGUUAUAAUGCUUAGAACAUGUGUGGUGUCAAGACUUGGGAGUAAAAAUAAAAUGGAACGGAUCAGGGCCUUCAUUGAAGACACUACUGAUAAAGAUGUGCUUGUGUUGAAUGUCCAGGACCCAUUUCAGAGGUUGCUAUUACAUGGUGUUUGCGAGUUUUACAAUGUAACGUCUACGACCACAGGUACUGUGCAAGAUGGAAAGCCAUGGAAGACAACAACAAUCAAGAAGCGUUCGGGGACGGGUGUUGCCCCCAUGAUCACAUUGGUUAGUUUCCUGAGAACAAAGAAGAAUGGGUCACACGUUGUCUCGUGA
rnacentral:rRNA from 1 species